CGUGUAAGAGCAUUUUUAAGUGAACUUGGUGCACGUGGCAUUCAAGACAGCAAAGUUUAAGAGCAUCACAGGGACCCAAAUGGUUGAACAGCACAGAAAACAUUGUUUGAGCAGAGAAAGUGUGAUUCAAAGCAGAUGAUUUUAACAGCACCACGAGACAAACAGUUCAGCGCCACAGAGAACAGUGUUCAUGCAAGAUCCUUUGUAAGUGAACUUGGCGCACGUGGCAUUCAACACAGCUGAGUGGGAUACCAAGCAUAAAACGGCACAGAAAAUAGACGCUGAUGAAGAACGGAUGUCCGAGGACCUUGCUGCUCAAAAAAUGAAGAUCUACAGCGUCAUGUCCAGCUCAGCAGAGGGGCCGAGCGAUGUUGGUGUCGUCAUUGAGGGAGUGAAAGUUCUCACCACUCUGGGUACCUUUGCCAGGGCUUGCUGCAUGCUCCUCGGGCUGACUUAUGCACUAAAUCUGGCCUACCCUAAGGAGCUCAGAUAUACAUUUGAAAUCUUCCAGAAGCUCCUUCUGGAGCUGGACUGUUCGAAGCAGUCCCCAAAGCUGUACACUUUGAAGAGUAAGUUGUUGGACUAAGGAAAUGCCGAACUGGACACUUGAGCUGAGGCGGUGCAAUGGACACUUGACUUCAGUUUUUCAGAACUUAAUGACUUAAAGAUUUACCUUUUAAUUUCUCCAAACACUACUUUUUCAAGCAGGUUGAC